UACAGGGGGGGCAAGCGUUGUUCGGAAUUACUGGGCGUAAAGGGUGUGUAGGUGGCCAACUAAGUCAGACGUGAAAUCCCUCAGCUUAACUGGGGAACUGCGUCUGAUACUGGAUGGCUUGAGUGUGGGAGAGGGAUGCGGAAUUCCAGGUGUAGCGGUGAAAUGCGUAGAUAUCUGGAGGAACACCGGUGGCGAAGGCGGCAUUCUGGACCAUAACUGACGCUGAGGCGCGAAAGCUAGGGGAGCAAACAGG
rnacentral:rRNA from 1 species